ACGGAGGAUGCGAGCGUUAUCCGGAUUUAUUGGGUUUAAAGGGUGCGUAGGCGGAACAAUAAGUCAGUGGUGAAAUUCUGCAGCUUAACUGUAGACUUGCCGUUGAUACUGGUGGUCUUGAGUAUGGUAAAGGCAGGCGGAAUGUGUAAUGUAGCGGUGAAAUGCUUAGAUAUUGGGCAGAACACCGAUUGCGAAGGCAGCUUGCUGGGCCAUUACUGACGCUGAGGCACGAAAGCGUGGGGAUCGAACGG
rnacentral:rRNA from 1 species